rnacentral:rRNA from 1 species
UCGAGAAUAAUUCACAAUGGACGAAAGUCUGAUGGUGCAACGCCGCGUGGAGGAUGACGGUCUUCGGACUGUAAACUCCUGUCAUCGGGGAGUAAGACCUGGGCAUUAAUAGUGCACAGGGUUGAUAGUACCCGAAGAGGAAGGGACGGCUAACUUCGUGCCAGCAGCCGCGGUAAUACGAAGGUCCCGAGCGUUGUUCGGAAUCACUGGGCGUAAAGGGAGCGUAGGCGGCAGGGUAAGUCAGAUGUGAAAUCCCGGGGCUCAACCCCGGAACUGCAUCCGAUACUGCCCUGCUUGAGUAGUGGAGGGGUAGCCGGAAUUCUCGGUGUAGCAGUGAAAUGCGUGGAUAUCGAGAGGAACACUCGUGGCGAAGGCGGGCUACUGGACACUUACUGACGCUGAGGCUCGAAGGCCAGGGUAGCGAAAGGGAUUAGAUACCCCCGUAGUCC